rnacentral:rRNA from 1 species
CGGAAGACCAAGGGUUCCUGUCCAACGUUAAUCGGGGCAGGGUGAGUCGACCCCUAAGGCGAGGCCGAAAGGCGUAGUCGAUGGGAAACAGGUUAAUAUUCCUGUACUUGGUGUUACUGCGAAGGGGGGACGGAGAAGGCUAUGUUGGCCGGGCGACGGUUGUCCCGGUUUAAGCGUGUAGGCUGGUUUUCCAGGCAAAUCCGGAAAACUAAGGCUGAGGCGUGAUGACGAGGCACUACGGUGCUGAAGCAACAAAUGCCCUGCUUCCAGGAAAAGCCUCUAAGCAUCAGGUAACAUCAAAUCGUACCCCAAACCGACACAGGUGGUCAGGUAGAGAAUACCAAGGCGCUUGAGAGAACUCGGGUGAAGGAACUAGGCAAAAUGGUGCCGUAACUUCGGGAGAAGGCACGCUGAUAUGUAGGUGAAGUCCCUCGCGGAUGGAGCUGAAAUCAGUCGAAGAUACCAGCUGGCUGCAACUGUUUAUUAAAAACACAGCACUGUGCAAACACGAAAGUGGACGUAUACGGUGUGACGCCUGCCCGGUGCCGGAAGGUUAAUUGAUGGGGUCAGCGCAAGCGAAGCUCUUGAUCGAAGCCCCGGUAAACGGCGGCCGUAACUAUAACGGUCCUAAGGUAGCGAAAUUCCUUGUCGGGUAAGUUCCGACCUGCACGAAUGGCGUAAUGAUGGCCAGGCUGUCUCCACCCGAGACUCAGUGAAAUUGAACUCGCUGUGAAGAUGCAGUGUACCCGCGGCAAGACGGAAAGACCCCGUGAACCUUUACUAUAGCUUGACACUGAACAUUGAGCCUUGAUGUGUAGGAUAGGUGGGAGGCUUUGAAGUGUGGACGCCAGUCUGCAUGGAGCCGACCUUGAAAUACCACCCUUUAAUGUUUGAUGUUCUAACGUUGACCCGUAAUCCGGGUUGCGGACAGUGUCUGGUGGGUAGUUUGACUGGGGCGGUCUCCUCCUAAAGAGUAACGGAGGAGCACGAAGGUUGGCUAAUCCUGGUCGGACAUCAGGAGGUUAGUGCAAUGGCAUAAGCCAGCUUGACUGCGAGCGUGACGGCGCGAGCAGGUGCGAAAGCAGGUCAUAGUGAUCCGGUGGUUCUGAAUGGAAGGGCCAUCGCUCAACGGAUAAAAGGUACUCCGGGGAUAACAGGCUGAUACCGCCCAAGAGUUCAUAUCGACGGCGGUGUUUGGCACCUCGAUGUCGGCUCAUCACAUCCUGGGGCUGAAGUAGGUCCCAAGGGUAUGGCUGUUCGCCAUUUAAAGUGGUACGCGAGCUGGGUUUAGAACGUCGUGAGACAGUUCGGUCCCUAUCUGCCGUGGGCGCUGGAGAACUGAGGGGGGCUGCUCCUAGUACGAGAGGACCGGAGUGGACGCAUCACUGGUGUUCGGGUUGUCAUGCCAAUGGCACUGCCCGGUAGCUAAAUGCGGAAGAGAUAAGUGCUGAAAGCAUCUAAGCACGAAACUUGCCCCGAGAUGAGUUCUCCCUGACUCCUUGAGAGUCCUGAAGGAACGUUGAAG